AGACAGAGACAUCCUGGCCUCCAUGCAGAGGAAUGUGUGGAUGGACAUAUAUUUAAGGAAGACACUAAACCAGAAAAUACUACAUUACACCCUCUUAAAAGACUUCUAAGAUUGUUGUCAUGCCUACCACUGACAUUCAGAUGAUGUGUAUUCUUGAUUGUGAUUUCAUGUUUGGAGCUGAUGAAGGAGUUGGAAGUCUCCAGAGCAGCAAGGAGAGUGGGGAGUAGAACUCAUCAUCUUUAGGUCACUCAUC
rnacentral:lncRNA from 1 species